CCCAGAUCUCCCCUGAGUUUUGUGUGCAGGGAGAGCUCCUGGAGGCUGCCUGGCGGGCACGGAAGCUGCAGCAGGAGGGGGCAGCUGAUAAAUGUCAGUUCCGUGGCUCUGAGUUGUCGUUUCUGGGAAAAAUCUGAUGAUAUUUCCCUGUGUGGUGCUGGAGUUCCUUUGCAGCAGGAUGGGAGAAGAUCCCGUUAUCCUUCUUAAAUUUGGCUGAGCUGUUUGGCUUGGGGGGAAAAGCUUGUUGGAGGGUGGGUGGUGCAAAGGGAAUGAGCUGUACAAAACCUGCUCUUCUAUUUGAGUGUCGCGUGUGCAGAUCCGGUGCCACCUCCUCCUUCCCUUCCCCAAAUCUGCUCCAGAUCCUCCUGGGUUGUUUAGGCCCCCAGCCUGGGCACGAGGCUGGAGUUUCCUACACUCUGGAGUAUUCUGGGGAGGGGAGAGGCAGAGUUCACCACCUUCACCCCCUGCAUAAUCCAGACUCCCACAAAGGAGGCACAUCAGGCAAGUGCUCCCUUUUCCCUUCCUGACCCAAUUCCUGCUGGAGCGCCGAGCACAGCGGGAUUCCCUGGGGUGGGACUCCUCACCCUGCACAGCCAGCAUCCCUGGGAACACCUCAGCCUGCUGGGAUGAGGCCAGGCCCCUGCAGCUGGAGGAUGGAUGCUUUCCCUGCCCCCUCUUCCCAUGAAUUUCAUGGGAUAUUUCCCACUCUCUGAGGUGCUGCUAAGCCUUGGCUUAAGUAACUUUUCCCUUUCCUGGUUUUCCCAUCCCUGGCUCUGGACUGGCAGCAGUGAGGGAACAGCUCAUGGGAAGCCUCGGGCAGGUGGUGGUGGGGUGAGGGAAGCUGAGGUGGCCGAGCUGCCUCCUUGUGUUGUGGGGGCUGGGAUUUGGGGAAAUAACCAGGUUUUUUGGUUGUUUGCCCUGGGGCAGAGCACAGCUCAGGUUCCUGGAAUUUAUUUCACCUGCUGGAUGUUUGUUGGUUUAGGGCUGCCCUCGGUCUCUCUCUACACCAGUCACCUGCCUGGGGACCUCUCUCUGCCUCAGGGCCUUUGUCCAGCCCUGCUGGUGUCUCCAAAAUCCUGGUGCCCGGCGCUGCGUCAGAGGGCUCCGAAGAUGUCCAACAGCAACACGGCACAGGAGUCCCUGGAAAUUAUGAAGGAAUCGGAAAAAAAGGUGGUUGAGGAAUCUGUGAACAAAACCAAAUAUGUAUCCAGGUCACCAAGCAAGGAGGAGGCGGAGAAGGAUGGGGGGGAGGAGGUCAACGUGCGCCAGGAGUCUCAGAGGCGAACGUCGAGUCACGGACACGCCAGGAAAAGAGCCAAGUCUAAUUCAAAGCUUAAACUGGUCAGGAGCUUGGCUGUGUGUGAAGAGUCCUCGGGCCCCUUCGUGGAUGGGCUGCUGGAGUCCCAGGACAUCAUCCAGCUGCACGUGAGCUGCCCCUCGGACAAGGAGGAGGAAAAAUCCACGAAAGAUGGGGGGGAGAAAGAAGAAAAAGACAAGAACAAAGAAAAAACACCAAGGAAGAUGCUCUCUCGAGAUUCCAGCCAGGAAUACACAGACUCCACCGGAAUAGAUUUGCAUGAAUUCUUAGUAAAUACACUGAAAAAAAACCCACGGGAUCGAAUGAUGCUGCUCAAAUUGGAACAGGAGAUCCUGGAGUUUAUUAGUGAUAACAACAAUCAGUUCAAGAAGUUCCCUCAGAUGACCUCGUACCACAGGAUGCUGCUGCACAGGGUCGCUGCCUAUUUUGGGAUGGACCACAACGUGGAUCAGACUGGGAAGGCUGUCAUCAUCAACAAGACCAGUAACACACGAAUCCCCGAGCAGAGGUUCUCUGAGCACAUCAAGGAUGAGAAGAAUGCAGAGUUCCCACAGAGGUUUAUCCUGAAACGGGAUGACACCAGCAUGGAUCGGGAUGAUAACCAGAUCAGACUCCCCUUGCAGGAUGGGAGAAGGAGCAAAUCCAUAGAAGAGCGAGAGGAGGAGUAUCAGCGGGUCAGGGAGCGGAUCUUUGCACGGGAGUCUGGCCAGAACGGAUUCCUCACGGACAGCAGGGGCCCCCGGGACGGGCUGGGCCGGGCCUCGAGCAGCCGCCAGAGCAGCACGGAGAGCGAGCUGAAGGCGCUGGAGCCGCGGCCCUGGAGCAGCACCGACUCGGACGGCUCCGUGCGCGCCCUGCGCCCGCCCGUCACCAAGGCCAGCAGCUUCAGUGGCAUCUCCAUCCUCACCCGGGGGGACAGCGUCGGGAGCAGCAAGGGCAGCACUGCCAGCAGGACGUCCCGGGCAGGUUUGGUGCUAGGAGCCCCCGAGGGGUGCAGCCAGUCCCCGUCCUCGCAGCCCAGCCGUGGCCUCCUGCCCUGCACGGCCCCGCCGCCGCCCCCGCAGCCCCCCGGCAUCCCCCCCCCCGCCCAGCAGCCGCCGGCCAUGAGCAGCCCCAUGAUGUCCCAGCCGGUCCCGGCGCUGCAGCCUGUUCCGUACUCUCCAAGCUCCUGCCCCCAAGUCCUCCUGCCAGUCUCUCCACCCCAGCAGUACAACCUGGCCGACGAGCUCAGCAGCCCCUUCGGGCAGAUCAGCCUCAGCCGACAGGGCUCGACGGAGGCCCCGGAUCCUUCCUCGGCGAUGUUCCAGUCGUCCCUCAUCUCCCAGCACCCUCAGCAGCCAGGAUUCAUCAUGGCAACCCCUGGGCAGCCCAUUCCCACCUCCAGCUACUCCGCCUCGGGGCACACGGCCCCCACUCAGCAGGUGCUGCAGCCCCAGGGCUACAUUCAGCCUCCCCAGCAAAUUCAGGUUUCUUACUACCCCCCCGGGCAGUACCCGAACUCCAGCCAGCAAUACCGACCCCUCAGUCACCCAGUGGCCUACAGCUCCCAGCGCCCACAGCAGCUCCCCCAGCAGUCCCAGCAGCCAGGUUUACAGCCAAUGAUGUCCAACCAGCAGCAAACAUACCAAGGUGUGAUGGGGGUGCAGCAGGCACAGCCCCCCGGGCUCCUCAACAGCCAGAGGAACAACAUGGGGGGCCAGAUGCAGAGCGUGAUGGGGGUGCAGCAGGCACAGCCCCCCGGGCUCCUCAGCGGCCAGAGGAGUGGGAUGGGGAGCCAGAUGCAAGGCCUGAUGGUCCAGUACACGCCGCUGCCUUCGUACCAGGUUCCCAUGGCCAGUGAGUCCCAGAGCGUGGUCCAGCAGCCCUUCCAGCAGCCAGUGCUCGUGCCAGCCAGUCAGUCUGUGCAGGGGGGGCUCCAGGCUGGGGGGGUCCCCAUCUACUACAGCGUCAUCCCCACUGCCCAGCAGAACGGCACCAGCCCGUCCGUGGGGUUCCUGCAGCCUCCCGGCUCCGAGCAGUACCAGAUGCCGCAGUCCCCGGCCCCCUGCAGCCCCCCCCAGAUGCAGCAGCAGUAUUCAGGGGUGUCCCCGUCAGGCCCCGGUGUCGUGGUGAUGCAGCUGAAUGUCCCCAACGGCCCCCAGGCCCCCCAGAACCCCCCCGUGGUGCAGUGGAGCCACUGUAAGUACUACAGCCUGGAGCAGCGGGGGCAGAAGCCAGGAGACCUCUACAACCCCGACACCAGUGCUCAGGCCAGCACUCAGCUGAACAGCCCCAUCACGUCCCCCACCCAGUCCCCGACGCCGUCGCCCGUCACCAACCUCAACAGUGUGUGCACGGGGCUGAGCCCCCUCCCUGUCCUCACACAGUUCCCCCGGCCCAUGGGCCCGGCACAAGGUGACGGGCGGUACUCGCUGCUGGGCCAACCGCUGCAGUACAACCUGUCCCUCUGUCCCCCGCCACUGCUCCACAGCCAGCCCGGCUACACGGCACACCAGGGGCAGACUGGGAUGAAACACGGGAACCGGAGCAAGAGACAGGCCCUCAAAUCGGCGUCCACCGACCUGGGGACAAGCGACGUAGUGCUGGGCCGGGUGCUGGAGGUGACGGACCUGCCCGAGGGCAUCACACGGACGGAGGCCGACAAGCUCUUCACGCAGCUCGCCAUGGCCGGUGCCAAAAUCCAGUGGCUCAAAGAGACUCAGGGGCGCCGCGGGGACGGCGGUGGCGGCGGCGGGGACAACAGCGGGACUCCGGAGAACGGCAGGCACGGUGACCUCGCUGCCUUAUACACCAUCGUGGCCGUGUUCCCCAGCCCGCUGGCUGCCCAGAACGCCUCCCUCCGCCUCAACAACUCCCUCAGCCGCUUCAAGCUGCGCGUGGCCAAAAAGAACUACGACCUGCGGGUGCUGGAGCGGGCCAGCUCCCAGUAGGGCUCCCGCGGGCACCGGGCACCCCCCUGGGCCUCUUCUCCUCCCGCCCUCCCUUCCUCUCGCCCUCCUCCCUUGAUAUAUUUAUAUGAACAUAAUUAAGAGACGAGAAGUUGAUUUUUUUUUUUUUUUAAUUAUUAUUAUUUUUGGAGUGCCGCCCGUGCCCGCCCCCCUCCCCUGUGUCUCUGGUUUUGUUUAAGCACUGUGUUGGACCGCACAUACAGGUGUUGAUUGCUGCCAGCCCCAUCCAGCUGUGCCAGGGCAGGACUGAGGGCAUGGAGUGUCCCCUGCUGGGAAGCAACAUACUCCUGGUGACUGAGGAGCAGCACCUGGAGCUGGCACAGGUG